rnacentral:rRNA from 1 species
UACGGGGGGAGCAAGCGUUGUUCGGAGUUACUGGGCGUAAAGGGUGUGUAGGCGGUUGUUUAAGUUUGGUGUGAAAUCUCCCGGCUCAACUGGGAGGGUGCGCCGAAUACUGAAUGACUUCGAGUGCGGGAGAGGAAAGUGGAAUUCCUGGUGUAGCGGUGAAAUGCGUAGAUAUCAGGAGGAACACCGGUGGUGUAGACGGCUUUCUGGACCGUAACUGACGCUGAGACACGAAAGCGUGGGUAGCAAACAGG